CGCACGGGUGAGUAAGGUAUAGUUAAUCUGCCCUACACAAGAGGACAACAGUUGGAAACGACUGCUAAUACUCUAUACUCCUGCUUAACACAAGUUGAGUAGGGAAAGUUUUUCGGUGUAGGAUGAGACUAUAUAGUAUCAGCUAGUUGGUAAGGUAAUGGCUUACCAAGGCUAUGACGCUUAACUGGUCUGAGAGGAUGAUCAGUCACACUGGAACUGAGACACGGUCCAGACUCCUACGGGAGGCAGCAGUAGGGAAUAUUGCGCAAUGGGGGAAACCCUGACGCAGCAACGCCGCGUGGAGGAUGACACUUUUCGGAGCGUAAACUCCUUUUCUUAGGGAAGAAUUCUGACGGUACCUAAGGAAUAAGCACCGGCUAACUCCGUGCCAGCAGCCGCGGUAAUACGGAGGGUGCAAGCGUUACUCGGAAUCACUGGGCGUAAAGGGCGCGUAGGCGGAUUAUCAAGUCUCUUGUGAAAUCUAAUGGCUUAACCAUUAAACUGCUUGGGAAACUGAUAGUCUAGAGUGAGGGAGAGGCAGAUGGAAUUGGUGGUGUAGGGGUAAAAUCCGUAGAUAUCACCAAGAAUACCCAUUGCGAAGGCGAUCUGCUGGAACUCAACUGACGCUAAGGCGCGAAAGCGUGGGGAGCAAACAGGAUUAGAUACCCUGGUAGUCCACGCCCUAAACGAUGUACACUAGUUGUUGGGGUGCUAGUCAUCUCAGUAAUGCAGCUAACGCAUUAAGUGUACCGCCUGGGGAGUACGGUCGCAAGAUUAAAACUCAAAGGAAUAGACGGGGACCCGCACAAGCGGUGGAGCAUGUGGUUUAAUUCGAAGAUACGCGAAGAACCUUACCUGGGCUUGAUAUCCUAAGAACCUUAUAGAGAUAUGAGGGUGCUAGCUUGCUAGAACUUAGAGACAGGUGCUGCACGGCUGUCGUCAGCUCGUGUCGUGAGAUGUUGGGUUAAGUCCCGCAACGAGCGCAACCCACGUAUUUAGUUGCUAACGGUUCGGCCGAGCACUCUAAAUAGACUGCCUUCGUAAGGAGGAGGAAGGUGUGGACGACGUCAAGUCAUCAUGGCCCUUAUGCCCAGGGCGACACACGUGCUACAAUGGCAUAUACAAUGAGACGCAAUACCGCGAGGUGGAGCAAAUCUAUAAAAUAUGUCCCAGUUCGGAUUGUUCUCUGCAACUCGAGAGCAUGAAGCCGGAAUCGCUAGUAAUCGUAGAUCAGCCAUGCUACGGUGAAUACGUUCCCGGGUCUUGUACUCACCGCCCGUCACACCAUGGGAGUUGAUUUCACUCGAAGCCGGA
rnacentral:rRNA from 1 species